GCGAGCUCACCGGAGUUUAUCCGGAAGAGAACGAAGACCACCACGCCGUCCAGAUGGCCGAAUCCGACUACGAGGACGACGACUCGGACCAACCUGUAAGUGUGACCACCCUCUGCUCAGUUCUUGAGAUAUGAGAUUUCGCUCUCAAAUCCUCUUGCUUUGGCUUGAGAAGUUGAGAUAUGAGAUUUCGCUCUCAAGUCCUCUUGCUUUGGCUUUUUAUGCCGUUUAUUUCUUUGCUCAGUUUACGUAUGCGUGCCUAUGCCUUGAUUUUACACAGAAAUUUUAUGUGAAGUUAGUUUUGCUGAUAAACACUUAUCUAGUUCUAACUUUUUUCGGGAUUUUUGGGAGUUUAACUUAGUGCCUAAAUUAGCUCUGUUUCUAGAUUUUGGGAAUGCAGUUUGGAGCAUCCAUUUCAGUCUAACACGGGCAAUUUUGCG
rnacentral:lncRNA from 1 species